rnacentral:rRNA from 1 species
AAAUUGAAGAGUUUGAUCAUGGCUCAGAUUGAACGCUGGCGGCAGGCCUAACACAUGCAAGUCGAACGGUAACAGGAAACAGCUUGCUGUUUCGCUGACGAGUGGCGGACGGGUGAGUAAUGUCUGGGAAACUGCCUGAUGGAGGGGGAUAACUACUGGAAACGGUAGCUAAUACCGCAUAAUGUCGCAAGACC